UUAAGUUCAGCGGGUAUUCCUACCUGAUCCGAGGUCAACCUUGAGAAGUAGGGGUUGUCACGGCGUGGCCGCGCCGCCUUCCCGCCGCGAGGUGAGUUCUACUACGCGGGGGAGGUCGCGACGUGACCGCCACUGUAUUUCAGGGCCGGCCGGCCUCCAUGGGCGCGGCCGAUCCCCAACGCAGGUCCCGCGGACGGGCC
rnacentral:misc_RNA from 1 species